rnacentral:rRNA from 1 species
CUAACGACUCCCGGCAACGGAUAUCUCGGCUCUCGCAUCGAUGAAGAACGUAGCGAAAUGCGAUACUUGGUGUGAAUUGCAGAAUCCCGUGAACCAUCGAGUCUUUGAACGCAAGUUGCGCCCGAUGCCAUCGGGCUGAGGGCACGUCUGUUUGGGCGUCACGC